UAGCACUGUAUCUGAACCCAUAAAGUCUCCUCGUGGCUCAAUGGGUCAAGCAACGGUGCAAAAGUAAUUGAUUGUUAUAACUGGGGCUUCAUGGAAUUUACGCCAAGUUGCUCUUUUAAAAGCAAUCUACAUUU